rnacentral:rRNA from 14 species
CAACUUUCAGCAACGGAUCUCUUGGCUCUCGCAUCGA